AGAGUUUGAUCAUGGCUCAGAUUGAACGCUGGCGGCAGGCCUAACACAUGCAAGUCGAGCGGUAGCACAGAGAGCUUGCUCUCGGGUGACGAGCGGCGGACGGGUGAGUAAUGUCUGGGAAACUGCCUGAUGGAGGGGGAUAACUACUGGAAACGGUAGCUAAUACCGCAUAACGUCGCAAGACCAAAGUGGGGGACCUUCGGGCCUCAUGCCAUCAGAUGUGCCCAGAUGGGAUUAGCUGGUAGGUGGGGUAACGGCUCACCUAGGCGACGAUCCCUAGCUGGUCUGAGAGGAUGACCAGCCACACUGGAACUGAGACACGGUCCAGACUCCUACGGGAGGCAGCAGUGGGGAAUAUUGCACAAUGGGCGCAAGCCUGAUGCAGCCAUGCCGCGUGUGUGAAGAAGGCCUUCGGGUUGUAAAGCACUUUCAGCGGGGAGGAAGGCGAUGAGGUUAAUAACCUCAUCGAUGACGUUACCCGCAGAAGAAGCACCGGCUAACUCCGUGCCAGCAGCCGCGGUAAUACGGAGGGUGCAAGCGUUAAUCGGAAUUACUGGGCGUAAAGCGCACGCAGGCGGUCUGUCAAGUCGGAUGUGAAAUCCCCGGGCUCAACCUGGGAACUGCAUUCGAACUGGCAGGCUAGAGUCUUGUAGAGGGGGGUAGAAUUCCAGGUGUAGCGGUGAAAUGCGUAGAGAUCUGGAGGAAUACCGGUGGCGAAGGCGGCCCCCUGGACAAAGACUGACGCUCAGGUGCGAAAGCGUGGGGAGCAAACAGGAUUAGAUACCCUGGUAGUCCACGCUGUAAACGAUGUCGAUUUGGAGGUUGUGCCCUUGAGGCGUGGCUUCCGGAGCUAACGCGUUAAAUCGACCGCCUGGGGAGUACGGCCGCAAGGUUAAAACUCAAAUGAAUUGACGGGGGCCCGCACAAGCGGUGGAGCAUGUGGUUUAAUUCGAUGCAACGCGAAGAACCUUACCUGGUCUUGACAUCCACAGAACUUUCCAGAGAUGGAUUGGUGCCUUCGGGAACUGUGAGACAGGUGCUGCAUGGCUGUCGUCAGC
rnacentral:rRNA from 1 species